CGACCGGCGCACGGGUGAGUAACGCGUAUCCAACCUUCCCAUUACUGUGGGAUAACCUGCCGAAAGGCAGACUAAUACCACAUAGUCUUCGAUGACGGCAUCAGAUUUGAAGUAAAGAUUUAUCGGUAAUGGAUGGGGAUGCGUCUGAUUAGCUUGUUGGUGGGGUAACGGCCCACCAAGGCGACGAUCAGUAGGGGUUCUGAGAGGAAGGUCCCCCACAUUGGAACUGAGACACGGUCCAAACUCCUACGGGAGGCAGCAGAC
rnacentral:rRNA from 1 species